rnacentral:lncRNA from 10 species
AAAAGACAAGCCCCAGUGCACAAGUGCUUUCCAAACUUCUGCUUGCCUGAUGUUUCUUAAUGUCUCCUUGGCUGAAGCAAUGGCCAAGCCCACAUUCAAGAGCUAGAGACAGAGCUUAUACCUGUUGAUGGGAGGAAGAGCAGAGUCACAUUGCAAAGGGGUAUGCCUACAAUUUUGGAAGGAAUUCGUGGACAUUCGGCAAUUUCUUACAGACAUGUGACACUUUCGGGCUGAAGCACUUAAGAGCCAGUGUGCCCUGUCCAUUUCUGUCUUCUGUCCUGUGGAUUUGGAAGCAUGUGUUGACAGAACAAUGUCUUAUGGUGAAGGAAGCCUAAACCCCUGAGUCAUUGGAUGGAGGAGAGCCCAUGUUGACCCAUAAAGGACUUCAUGGUCUCGCUCUGUCACCCAGGCUGGAGUGCAGGCGUGCUAUCUUGGCUCACUGCAACUUCUGCUUCCCGAGUUCAAGAGAUCCUCAUACCUCAGCCUCCUGAGUAGCCGGGACUACAGGCAUGCGCCACCACACCCAGAUAUGACUUAGAAUAUGAUUGAAUAUGAAUACAUGAUUGAAGAUAUAUUAUAAAAUUGAGAUACUUGUUGCACCACUCCAGGCAUAUCAUGUGCACUGGCCCUGCUAGCUAAUGCUCUUCCCCCCACUACCAUCACCUUAUGGUAAACUCCUACUUACUUCUUUUUUUUUUUUUUUUUUUUUUUUGAGACGGAGUCUCGCUCUGUCACCCAGGCUAGAGUGCAGUGGCGCGAUCUCGGCUCACUGCAUCACUGCAAGCUCCGCCUCCCGGGUUCAGGCCAUUCUCCUGCCUCAGCCUCCCGAGUAGCUGGGACUACAGGCGCCUGCAACCACGCCUGGCUAAUUUUUUGUAUUUUUAGUAGAGACGGGGUUUCACUGUUAGCCCAGUUUAACCAUCAACACUUCCAUAGAGCACUCUCCCACCACUCCCAUAGUAUUAGCACAUCCUUUAUUCCAGCAUUAAUUCUACUACAGUUUACUUGUCUAUUAACCUAUUUUCCCCUCUAGAAUCUGAGCUUCUUGAAGCAGGGACAGUCAUGUAUGCAUCUUAAAAAAAUCUUCAAUCUCCAGUGCUCAUCAGAAGACCUGGCACAUAGCACAUUGUUAAUAACUCUUUGUUAUAUGAAAAAGUCCAUAAUGCAUUUUUGCUUUAAACUUUGCCAGGGAAGAAAAUUUGGAUGCUGUUUGUGUAUACUUCUUUGCCGUUCUUUGACAAUAAAAUAGAGAUAAUAUCACUUACUGCCCUUCUUCACACCUGAUAGAGUUACUGAGCUGGGAUAAUAGAUGGGCAAGGUGAAAGUGAAAGAAUUAAAUACAAAAAUCCAUAAUAGUGAUUAGACUUUCUUUGAUAUUAACAACAGGUAACAUGCAUUGAGCGUUUACUAUGUUCCAGGCAUGAAAUUAUCAAAUUUAUUUCUUAUAAUAGCUGCAAUUUUAGGUGAGUAAAUGAAAUUUUAGACAGUUUAAGUGACUUGUCUGAGGUGAAACAACUGGCAAGUCAAAGACUUUCUGAAAUCAGGGUCCACUAUGUGGAAACUAUUCUAUAUCGACUCACCAGUGAAGAUAGUGUGCUCCACUUAAAUGAGAAAAGCAACGAACAAUAAGCCCAGGGUGAAGAUUUGGUUACAUACCCUGCUUCUCAGGUUUUGCUUAAGUUUAGCGCCCACCAGGAAGAAAGAAAACGAUUAUCUGCCUCCUUGACUUUUGCAUCAUUUGUCUUUCUUCUGAUGAAAGUGGGACUAAUCACUGAGUUAGGGUUUCCUUAUUUUUAGUCUACACCAUGUUGCUUUAUCCUAAAAGGAUAAAUAUGGGCUGUGUGAUGGUUGACCACCUUUCUUCUUCCUUCUAUGAAGGUCUGAAAGGGCACAAGACAGGUAAAAAGGAAACAGCUUUUCUUUAGUAACUAAGUUGCUAGAUUUUUGAUCUCAUGGCCCUGAGCUACACGUGAAUGACUUUGACCUGUAAUCUGAAAUAAGAUAGACUUCAGAGUUCACCUCUCCCACCAUUUCACUCCAAAGGUGAGAUAAGGUAGAGUUGCUAAAGGUACAGUAUGAAGGGCAUGUGGCAUUUUAGUGUUGACAGUAUGCCAGCUCUAAGACCUGCUUCUUCCAUCUCCAACCAUUCCUGCUUGCUCCCCACUCCAAGCUGUGAUCCCCCCGAGUGAGUGAUAGAAGUGGCAAGAGGUUGUUCGGAAGAUUAAAGACCCAAGUCACCAGAGGCUGCCAUCUCGCAAGAAUAUUUAGACAUUUUUCCACUUGGCAGUCAUUAAUAUUCUUCAGCAAAGAGUAAAAAGAAAGCCUGUUCAAAAAGCCUCCCUCUUCAGAUCUCUGUACCUUGGAAGAUAAAGUGAAUGAAAGGGUUUUGUUAUGAAAUUAAAUAUUCAUUGGAUUGAGUUAGAGCUAUUACUGUUCUUGAGAAUAAAACUGGAUUUUUCCUUUGUUUUAAAUAACUACGGUCAUUUUAUGUAAGAAUCCAUUUCUGUACUGAAUUGAUCAGGGUAACGCAUGGUGUGAUUUUUCUAAUAUAAUAGACACAACAGGGAAAUGAAUACAGAAGGGCUCAAAGUAUUUUAUAGAGGGUAUACGAGCAAUUUGACGUCGCAGAAAACCUGUCAGAAAGAAGCACCAUGGAAUAGAGGAAAGAGGCCCGGAAUCCAGCCCCGGGAACUGUGACAGCCUCUGGGGUGGGGACUCUCGUGGAAAGGCUAGAUGAUGGAGUCACGUGCUCCCUUCCCGUUCACUAGCUGCUGAUUGGCCAACUGCUCCUGCCAGCUGUCCCUGCACUCCAGCUUCCUACCAUAUGCUCCAGAAUAACGUCUGGAAAGUGAGCCCCAUCCAUCAAGUUUGUCACACCUUGCACUCAAUCUGCUACCUUCUCUACAGUAUUUGUCCACGUCUCUGCCCUGCUUCAAAUCCUUCAGAGGCUCCCCAUCACCCACAGGGAUGAUCUUUCUGAAAUGGAUUUGGCCAUGCCAGUCUCCUGCCUGAAACAGCCCUCCUGGCUCCUUGUCACUCAAAGGAAAAGGCAAACUCCUCAAGACUGCACAUAAUGCCCACCUUCCCAACCAGCCUCUCCUACUGCCACUCUCUCUCCUACACCCUACCUUCCAAACCCUACUUGGGGUUCACCCUCACAUGCUGGAGUUUUCCCAUCUCUGAGACUUCAUUCAGGCAGUUCCUUCUGGCUUCGGAGGCUUCUUUGUUCCUAAAGUUCAUACUUUAAGACCUAGCUGAAAUAUCAAGGCUUCCUGGACUCUGCAGGUGACACGAGCCACUGUGCUCCUGGAUGCUUCAGAACCUGUGCAGAUCUCUGUCUUCACUCCUACUAUGGCAUCUCCUAGCAUGUUCUACACUGAGCUCCACUGGGCCUUGCAUGUCAGUAUCCCGAAUUCUGAAUGAAGCUUGGAACAUGGGAGGUGCAUCCACUAACAACAUGAAGAAUGAAGACAUGUAUAACAGAGUAGAUGGAAACCAUAUGGUAAAACCUAAAGCAAAAUCCACCCUCUAACCUUUCUGUAAGUGAAACACCCAAUUUUCUCGAAGGUGCAGUAAAAGAGCUAAAGCACAGGAGACUAAGUCAUGCAGGCCUAGCUUAGUGUUCUCCUGCCAAUGAUCUGCUGCAAAGACCACCAGGGACACAUCUGUAGUUGAACAUGUUGGGUUAUUCCUCAGCGCAGAGGGAGGAGCAAUGAGGCAUCUCUGAAAGAGGGUGUUAGAAAGAAUGUAUCACAAGAUUUGGGCUUAAGAUUGACUACCUUUGACAAAAGUAUGUCAAAAGCAAUACAUCUUACUAGUGGAGCGAAGACACUGCAUGCUGACAAAGGUGAUCUCAGAUGUGAGGUCGAUGGUGCGCCAUGCAAUCAGCUUGCUGAGUGAGCCUACUUAUGCCCCAUCCCGGGGGCCUAGGGUAAGAAAAGUGCCAAGCGAAGCUGAGGAUCAGACUAAAGCUGGAAGGUGUCAAGGCACAGGCUGAGUCAUCAGAACACCUUCCCUGAAUUGUGUCAAACAAGUGUACAUGUGCUCAAGUGUAUCUGGAUUCUGAUUUGGCUGCACAGUCACUGUUUUCCAGAUGUUUGCAGAAGAAAUAUGAGCUGGAGGAGACUCACUGAAAGCUGGAACUAGAAGGAUGCACACUGCUCAUCCAAGCCAAUUCACUUAUUUUACCAAUGAUAAAACUGAGUCUCAGAGAAGUCAUACGCUUGCCCAAAGACACAGCUUGUGGUGGAGGAGUCAACACCAGAACUCUGGUCCAGGACUGCAAAAAAACACUUAACAUGUGCUAAUAAUGAGGAUAAAAGAUACUUCAAAUUCUGGGAGUUCUAUAAUGUUUGAGCACAUAUACCAUUGAAUCCUUUUAAUAACCCAUCGCUUACACAGAUGAGGAAACCAAGGCUCAUAGAAAUAAAGUGCUUUGCCAAAAGGCACAAAACUGGUCAGUAAUAAAUCUGAUCUCCAGGUUCCCAGUCCAGAACUUUCUGCAGCACUAUCUUUUUGUUCCCUUUAACUACCAGAAGCUUUAACCCAAAAUGAGGCUUCAACUAUAAAAGCUAUUUAAGACCUUAUGGCUGCGUAUCUCUGCCCUAAGUUUUCUCUUGAUCCUUAUUUUAUAUUCUAAUGUUUAAAACUUGUUCCCCAAAUUUUUAAAGUUUGCAUUCAUUUUAUUUCAAUAAGCCACGCCAAAAUCUGUGUGUCAUAAGCUAUCUAUACGUAAAUAAAUGAACGAAUGAAUGAGCAAACAAACAAAAUCUUAAGAGGCAGAGUAACAUGGUGGAAAAAUACCAGGCUUACAUUCAAUUCAAUACCACUUUGUCUAUUGUCUUCAUCUUUGAGCCUCACUUUCAUUAUCUGUCAAACAGGUCUAACAAAAUUUAUCAUUAAGCAUUAUUAUAAGUCUAAAAAUAAACAUGGAACAUAUGAAGAAGGUUUGUAUGUUAUCAGUGGUAUCUAAAUUGGCAGCUCAUAGUAGUAUUACUAGUAAUAAUAAUAUAAACAAAGAAGCCUGAUUAAUGCAAGUGAGAUGAGUUAUUUGACUCCAGAAACCCCGCCUCCAGACAUGAGUUACGGCUCUCAUUGGGUUUUAUG